ensembl:lincRNA Gm3764 predicted gene 3764
AUUCAAUCACAGCCUCAAGUUCAAAAGUGAAUUAAAACUCAAAGAAGCCUGGGGACAGGGACAAGAGUACUUCUGUCAUUCAUUCUCUUCCCCUGCUUCCUUGGGGACAAGGGUGGCCUGGAGGAACAAUAGUGUCCCCUGGCCCCUUCUUCCUGCAUUGGGUUAGAAAAGGCAGCAGAAAGCAGUGGGGAUGACAAAGACACACACACACACACACACACACACACACACACACACACACACCCCAGGCUUGAGAAGGGAGGAGGAGGAGGCGUCUCUGGCUGGACGGACAGACUGUUAUUUUGGUGGUGGGCAUGGUCCCAGAUAGGGGCAGCGUUCCCCUUUUUCCUGGCUUUUCAGGGAGAGCAGCAAGAGAAAGAAAGAAGCAAACGAAAUUCCUGAAUGGAUAAGAGAUGCUACGUCAGCGGUACUGGAGCCGCAUCCUCCACUCCACGAGAAGAGAAGAGCUAGGAGAGACCAGCGGGCGGUAGCUGCGGCGAGUGGCCUCUCCGUGCGGCACAGAGGCAAGAAGCAGCCAUCCAUCCAGAAGCAGCCUCCGUGUUCCGUUUGUCCGGAUGUCAUCGUAGGUGGCCGGCAUCUCUGGCUUUGGGGCAGACAUCCUGCACUACAUUCCAGAUCUGAUGAGGCAUGGCUGCCCCAGGAUUACUGGGCUCGGACGGGAGCAGUGGUAGGAAGGAUCCUAUAUAAGUCAUGUGAGACAUAGAAUGUUCAGAUCAACUGAAGCUGAAACAAGCCUUUGGCAUCAUAUAUAACCCAGAAAGGGACAAAGCUGAUCCCAGAGGACUCAAGGCUAUGGGUGAUGUCGAAGGUGCGGAAGAAUCAAGUUGGAAAGACCAGCAGGAGACAGACAGAGUAAGGUUCCUUGAAUGCUUGGUUUAUGUGCCUGGCUGGAGGAGACACCCAUGGCCUUGCAGAGGGAGCGUUCUGGUGGGAAAGCAGACACAACCCACCCUAGGCCCGUGGUUUCCCUGCAAGAAGCCCAGUGGCUUUCUGGAGGACACUUUUCCUGGAGGAAGUGACUCAAGCACAAGUUCUUGGUGGCCUCAAUUCACGGUCUCUUCCUGUUGAUCAG